UAUUUCAUUCUACUUGUAAGCAAUAAUUUUCGAAAUCCACUAAAUAGAAGUUAUUAAAAAAACAUAAAUUACAAAACUUGAACUAUUAUUGUACUAAAUUGAAUAAUGGUAUGUUCAAAUUACACGACACAAAGUAUUUUUUUUCGUUAAAAAAAAAUACAAGCAAACUGUACCUUACUUUCGGGAACGAAUACCAAUAUAAGUGAUUUGAAUGAAUUUUAUUUACGUUGAUUAUAUAAGCUAAUAAAGCUUUAAUGUUUUAUUUGCAUUAAUAAUAAUAUUUUGGUAUUUAUAUUUUAAGAAUUCAAUGGGCAUAAGUAAGAUGUAGCACAAUAUAGAAUUAAUUCGGAACUGAAUACUAUAGAUAUAUCUAUUCAUACAAUGAUUUGAAUAUUUUAUUUCAUUUGAUUUGUUAUUAUAGUUUGCUUAACAAUAUGGACGAAAUAUUCGUUGUUUCACAAAAUUUCAAUAUUUGCGAUGAUCGUUUUGAUCGAAUAUCGGUUUUUUGAUAGCAACAACGCGCUCUUGUAGUAAUUAUAACAUUAAUAUUUCGUUUUAUUAAAAUGAAGUGUUCGUAUACAUACAACACGUA